rnacentral:rRNA from 1 species
AACGAACGCUGGCGGCAGGCCUAACACAUGCAAGUCGAACGCCCUAGCAAUAGGGAGUGGCGCACGGGUGCGUAACGCGUGGGAAUAUGCCCUUGACUACGGAACAACACAGGGAAACUUGUGCUAAUACCGUAUAAUGUCUCCGGACCAAAGAUUUAUCGGUCAAGGAUUAGCCCGCGUUAGAUUAGCUAGUUGGUGAGGUAAGGGCUCACCAAGGCGACGAUCUAUAGCUGGUCUGAGAGGAUGAUCAGCCACACUGGAACGGAGACACUGUCAAGACUCCUACGGGAGACAGCAUUGAGGAAUAUUGGACAAUGGGGGACACCCGGAUCCAGCCAUGCCGCGUGAGUGAUAAAGGCCUUCGGGUUGUAAAGCUCUUUCGGCGCAAAAUAUAAUGAUUGUAUGCGCAGAAGAAGCCCCGGCUAAAUUCGUGCCAGCAGCCGCAGUAA